rnacentral:rRNA from 1 species
GAUGAACGCUGGCGGCGUGCCUAAUACAUGCAAGUCGAGCGAAUGGAUUAAGAGCUUGCUCUUAUGAAGUUAGCGGCGGACGGGUGAGUAACACGUGGGUAACCUGCCCAUAAGACUGGGAUAACUCCGGGAAACCGGGGCUAAUACCGGAUAACAUUUUGAACCGCAUGGUUCGAAAUGGAAAGGCGGCUUAGGCUGUCACUUAUGGAUGGACCCGCGUCGCAUUAGCUAGUUGGUGAGGUAACGGCUCACCAAGGCAACGAUGCGUAGCCGACCUGAGGGAGUGAUCGGCCACACUGGGACUGAGACACGGCCCAGACUCCUACGGGAGGCAGCAGUAGGGAAUCUUCCGCAAUGGACGAAAGUCUGACGGAGCAACGCCGCGUGAGUGAUGAAGGCUUUCGGGUCGUAAAACUCUGUUGUUAGGGAAGAACAAGUGCUAGUUGAAUAAGCUGGCACCUUGACGGUACCUAACCAGAAAGCCACGGCUAACUACGUGCCAGCCGCCGCGGUAA